rnacentral:misc_RNA from 1 species
ACUAGAACUGCUGCUUUUCUCAUCUCCAGUAGCUGCUAGGGGAGAAUCAGAGACGCCACUAACACCAAUAUUUCUAGCUUGUCCCUCUUUUAAGUUAUUACCCAUUGUUGCAGAAGAUGGUGCCGAUUUCAUGGAACCUGGAGAUGCAGAUGCAAACUUGGUUGUGGUCUCCCCCUGGCCCAGCUUGACAGGAGCAUUUUUUGAUGCAGAAAGUUGUGCAGCAGAACUCUUCAUUGCAACCUCAAAAGAUGCACCUGAAUGCCUGUUUCCACCUUGUGAAACUUCUGGAAGACGUGGUCUUGCAGCCCAUGAGACAGCCUGGUUAGAACC